UGUAGCCUGCUUCAAGUUCCUCUCCACGUCCUCCUUGGUCAAGAACACCUCUCAGCUGCUGAGCCAUCCACUAUCUGCAGUGGUGCUGAAAUGACCAGAGACAUUGACAGAUGAGAGCCUCAGCAGCUUGGCAGUCUCAUGUCCCCUUACCUCACUUGCCCAUAGCCGCAGCUUCCAAACCAGAGCCAUUCCAAGGGACAUCGACACAGCAUCCAAGUUCACUGGGGUUGGGGCUGCCACAGUUAGGGUGGCUGGUUCUGGGGCUGAGACUGCUAUUGUGUUUGAGAGCCUCAUUAUGGUCAUGCCAGGAACCCGUCUCUGAAGCAACAGCUCUUCUCCUGUGCCAUUCCGGGCUUUGCCCUCUUGGGGCCGUGGGGCUCUUUUGCCUGAUGGUGGCCUUUCUCACCCUCUUUGCCAU
rnacentral:lncRNA from 1 species